rnacentral:lncRNA from 1 species
ACCAAUAAAAAUAUCUUAGAGUACCUUUUAAAGUGGCAAGUACAUAUAGAGUCAUUGUCAAUUGAUGUUAGUACUAAUCAUGGACUAUUUAUUUGCAAACUUGUUUGUUUUUUAGUAGAUUUUUUUUUAAACAGCAAAUUUUAUUUAUAUGCUAACCCAACACAAGAAGUGAAGAGGCUAGAGGAAAGACACAAGAUAACAGAUACAUAAAGACAGACAACUAAACCAAAGGCCAAAAAGCCACAACACAAAACCACCCAAACAACCCUUAAUACAAUAGAAUCACAGCAGAAAAACCUUAACCAAAUCAAGCAAAUUAAAAACAAUUACUUAGUUGAUAUUUGUAUGCCUUGUCGCGUUGAUGUUUCAGAAAUGUCUAGGUGGAGGGGAAUGGUGGUGGGGGGGAAGGGGGUGAAUGUUUAUAAGGUCGAAAUUUGACUACAGGAGGACGGUAAGGGGGUAAAUGUCCUGGGAACUGGUUGGAUGGAGGUUUGAAUAUUGGAGUGAUAUGAAAGGCAGCAUCAGCAAAAUGUUGAGGACCAAACAUAAGAGCAGCAAGGAAUACCACUAGCAAGGAUAAGAAAAAGGAUUUAGCCAUUUUAAGAAGUGAUAUUAUUAUUAGUGUUGGUGCAUAAUACAUAUGGAGUUAACUGGUUUUAUACUAAUUAGAGACUCAAAGUGAGUUUAUGGUCAAUCAAAGUCAUUUACUAAAUGUCAAAAUUGUGUAUGAAUUGAAUUAUUCAACAAUGUUACAAGGUCCAUGUAUUUGCUACUACUUGAUGAUCCUUUCAUUUUCCACACAACAAGACCAUUUAGUAUUAUUGGCUUUAUCUCUCCGCUUGUUUGCACACCAUAUGGUUGCGCUCCUUAAUUCUGAAAUAUAGAAUGAUUUUAAACUCAUUUUAGAUUCUCCAAAAAUUAAAAUCUCAUUCCUACGACAACAGAAAAUGGAAGAAACACAAGAUUGUUGGUGUAUUGGUAGCUUACAGUCUGUUGGAAAAAUUCAAUAAGCUAGUUUAUAGUUUCUUUUAAAAAGUAUAUGAGUUUAUAGUUUAUUUUAUUAAUUCCUUUUUCACAAUUGCUUACCUGUAAGAUUAAAAAGUAUAUGUUUCACAAUUGCUUUUUCAUCACAGACUUAUAGUUAUUUUAUUAAUUUAUAGCUUAUUUUUUAGAAGUUAUUUCAAAUAGUGUAUGAGCUUAUAAUUUAUUAUUUUUAUUUCACGCUUACCUUUCAUCAAAUGAUGGAACCGCUUUCCGGACCCUGCGUAUACGUGAGCUUCAGUGCACCGGGUUGUCCUUUAUUUCAUGCUUACCUUUAUUAUUUUGUCUCAAAUUUAUUUUUAUCCUUUAUAAUUUGUAAUAAAGAAAAUGCUAAAAUGUUCUAAAAAAUUGAUAAUUAAGUCAUAAAAUAUUUACAUUCUAAAAAUAUUCAUUCCAACUUUGUUUAAAGAUGCAUCUUCAUCAUCAUAUUCUUGUAAAAAAAUCAAACAGUAAAUUUCAAACGGAAAUUCUUAAAAUUCUUCAAAAAUGCUUUUAUUUGUACAAUUCUAAAGAAUUUAACCACUCCUUAAAAAAAAAAUUAACCAUGUGAUGAUCAGUACAUAUCCUUUAAUUUUACACACCAUAAAAUCAUUUAGUAUUAUUGGUACUAUAACAAGGUAAUGAGUGGAAGUUAUUUGCUACUAAUAUUCUUGAAUUAAGAUUUAGAAAAACCGUACUCCAAGAGCAUGAUAAAUUUUGCAAAUCUAUUCAAAAAAGAGUAUUGACGAGUUUUACAUUUACACGCUCCUUGAACAUUCAUCAAUAUAUCAUCAACAAAACCAAUAUGUAAAUACUACUCCGUCCCUAAAUAUAUAGGAGUCUUUUGUAAAAAUUACGGAGAUUAAGAAAGUUAGUUUUAGUAUUAAAUUUGAAUAUAAUUACUAUUGUUUUUACGAUUUUAUCCUUAAGAGAGAGUUAAUUUAUGUUUUCAACAUAAUAUUUAUUUUUGAUUGAAGAAAAAGAUGCAAAAUAAAUAAAGGUAUGUUACUAAAUAAAUAAUUAAUGUACUAGGGACGGAGGUAGUAUUAGAUAAGGAACAUGAAUAUUUGGGAGGAAAAAUUCUUUGCAUAAGAGGAUCGUCUUAAACAACAAACUGAAAUUAAAAAUACUUGCAAUUGCGGAAGUCUUAAACAACAAACUGAAAUCAUAUCACGAAUAUUAUUAAGUUAUGGACCAAUUUGUAUGCAACAGUUAACCACCAACUACUGCAAGAAAAUAUCAUAUUAGCUACCAAAAUCUAGCUACGGUCUAUUGCUCUAGUUAAUUUGUCUUUAAUUAGCUUUGCUCUUACUACAAGUGAAGUUUGCUAGCUGAUGCUUACACUUGUUCGUUUUUUUUUUUUUUUUGAUUGUACCCAAAUAAAACUAUUUAGCAUCACUGCAAAUGCAUUUUUUUUCAAUUCUUUUGUUUAUGCAAUUUAGAUUCACUCUUGUGGAAUCUAUAAUGUGGACUCUAUAAUAUAUAUUGUUGAUGUUAAUAUUUUUAAAAUUUUAUUUUCAAAUGAGCGUUCAAAUAUACUGAUGCUAAAAUUUUGUAAAUUUUAAUUCUACAAAAAGCAUGCAUGAAUACUUAUGCAAAAAAAAUUACUCAUUUUUUUCUUUAUUUAUUUUGACAAAAUUUCAUUUUCCCCCAUUUAUCUUCUUUCCCACAAUUUUUUUAACACUUCCCGAAAUCUUUUUCCCACUAAUAUUUUAUUUUCCUUUUUCUUUUUACAACAAUUCAUUUCCUCAUCGAACAAAAAGGGAAAACUCAAGAUGUGAAAAAUCAAUAUGAGAAAGCCAUUUUCUCAAUGUGAGUUUAUGGUCAAUAUAAGUCAUUUACUAAAUUCAACAAUGCUACACUCAUAGGUACCAUGUAGUAUUUGCUAGUUAUUGAUGAUCAGUAGCUAUCCUUUCAUUUUCCACACAACAAGACCAUUUAGUAUUAUUGGCUUUAUCUCUCCACUUGUUUGUGCACCAUGGUUGCACUCAUUAAUUCUGAAUUAUUAUAGAAUGAUUUUAAACUCAUUUUAGGUCCUCCAAAAAUUAAAAUACUCAUUCCUACGACAACACAAAAUGCAAGAAACACAAGAUUGUUGGUGUAUUAUAAGCCUGUAAGAUUAUACCGUAUAUGUUUCACAAUUGCUUUUUCAUCACAAGUUUAUAGUUUAUUUUAUUUGAAGUUAUUACAAAUAGUGUAUGAGCUUAUAAUUUUUUUUUUUUAUUUCAUGCUUACCUUUAUUAUUUUGUUUCAAAUUUAUUUUUAUCCUUUAUAAUUUGAAAUAAAGAAAAUACUAAAAUGUUCUAAAAAAUUGAUGAUUAAGUCAUAAAAUAUUUACAUUCUAAAAAUAUUAAUUCCAACUUUGUUUAAAGAUGCAUCUUCAUCAUCAUAUUCUUGUAAAAAAAAUCAAACAGUAAAUUUUAAAUUGAAAUUCUUAAAAUUCUUCAAAAAUGCCUUUAAUUUUCCACACCACAAAACCAUUUAGUAUUAUUGGUGCUAUGAAAAGGUAAUGAGUGGAAGUUAUUUGCUACUAAUAUUCUUGAAUAGAUUUAGCAAAACCGUACUCCAAGAGCAUGAUAAAUUUUGCAGACGGUGAAAAUUUAUUGUGACAAUAAACUAUUUAAAAAAGAGUAUUGACGAGUUUAACAUUUACACUGUAUAAACCCAAAUAUGCAAAAACCCAUAUACUUCUUGAACAUAUCAAGAAAACCAAGAUGUAAAUAUUAGAUAAGGAACAUAAAUACGUCGGAUGAAAAUUUCUUUGCAUAAGUGGAUCGUAAUAAAAAUUAACAAUAAGUUCUUAAAUACAUGCUUCUGAAAGUCUGAAAUACAAUAAAUACAAUAUGCUCUUAAAUUAACAAUAUCAUAGAAAGUCUGAAACUAAAAAUUGCGGAAGUCUUAAACAACAAACUGAAAUCAUAUCAGAAAUAUUAAGUUAUGGAACCAAUUUGUAUGUAAUAGUGAACCACCAACCAUUACAAGAAAAUAUCAUAUUAGCUACCAAAAUCUAGCUACGGUCUAUUGCUCUAGUUAAUUUGUCUUUAAUUAACUUUGCUCUUACUGCAAGUGCAAUUUGACUGGCUGAUGCUUACACUUGUUCGUUAUUGUAUAAAAAAAUUAAAACAAAUUGUAAUGUCUUCUGAUGCCUUUUGGAUCUUCAUUGAUGGUAUUUCCUAGUUCUUCACAAGUCUUUAAGAUGUUCUGCUUUGCGUAUUUGCAUAAUUUCUUCUUGAAUUAUAUAAAAACUAGAAUUACAUGAGUCAAACAGAAAACAUUACAAAUAUCCCAAAAACCAUAGGAAAUUGUUCUAAUACUCCAUUCUGGAUUAAAACUAAUUGAAAAUGACUGGAAAAACAUGCCAAGAAUAACGUAAGAUGAUAUGUUAUCACAACCUCAAACUUAAACUGUUGUUUGUCGGCAAGUAACGAACGAAAAUAAAUUUUAAUUUUGCAUAUUUUUCAAGAAAAACAUAUCUUUUCAAAGAGGUUGCUCAGAUCGUCUUCUCGUCUCAUUUACAGACUUGACUAACUUACACCUUCCAUGAAAGCGCGACAGAAUUAGAGAAUAUAGCCCAUACUCUCAACCACACUCUUAUCCAUGAUACAUGCAUGUAUCACACAAACUCGGUAGGGUUGGUCACGAUAUUUGUCCACUCUAGUCGUCACAUGAAUGUAUCUUGAUGUAAAUUUGAGAGAACUCUAAACAGACAGUCAAGAUCAUACUAUAUACAAAGUAUUAGUUCUUUCAAGGUUAUAACGUAUCUUAGGUUAAGGUGAGAUAUAUUAGAAAAGUAGGCUAACAAAACAACUUGAAGUUAGAUUAUCAACCUGAGGUUUCCUACUAAACAUUGAAGUACUACUAACAUUCCUUCCUUAAACCAAACAAGAUGGGUAUUAAAUAGAACUAUUUAUCUUUUCCUACAUUUGUUUUAAAAGACCAAAAUAUUUGAUGUUUUUAGCUCUUGAUUUUUUCUUUUUUCUAUUUUUUUAUGUAGACCCAUGGUUAUCAACAUUUUUUCAUUUUUUUUCUUUGUGAUAUAAAUAAGUUCUCUGGUAGCCCUUCCUCAAAAAGAAAUCCAAGUUUAGUUUCAAAUCAUACCAAAUUAUUAAAAAUAUUAUAUCUAACUCCAAGAGAAAUCAAAUAGAUGACUUUAAGGAUCAAAACACCCACAACGAGCCGGUAAUAACACAACGCCUAAAACUGAAAAAAAACAAUGCGUCGAAACUCGUUAAGACAACCGUUAGUCUAAUUGGCUAUAUAAGCCUUAAGGUACUAUUAGACAUAACAAUUCUUUCUUAAUAAAUAUUAUUUUCAUUUCACUUUUUCUAUAUUUUGUUUUCAUUUAUGAGUUCCAUCAAGAAUUGUGAUAAUGUGUCACUUGAAAAAAAGAUAGACUAAUGUCACUUAUGAGUUCUAUCAUGAAUUGUAAUAAUGUGUCACUUUUAUAUACAUAUGUUUCAGUAUGGACGGACUGAAGUCAAACACACGUUAGUACUUAGCCAAAAAGCUCGACAAAGUUUCUGGUAACAUAUUUAAUUAAAAUUCAAUAUAAAUAAAAGUGUGAAAAAGCUACUCAACCGUACAAGUUGCCUUUGCAUCCCAGUGCAACUGACACAAAUGUGGUAGCCUCGGUUAGGCUACUAAUACAAUGUGUUAGUUUACAUCAAAAUAUAUAUUCUUUUUAUCAGCAAAUAAAAUUAACAACAGUCCGAGCGCAAUAACCCGAAAGACUUACAGGUACGAGUGAGAAGGAAAAGCAUGCAGAAAACGACUUCUAUUAGUUCGACAGUUUCGUCAAAGGGUGCAGUGAAUGAAUUUGUAUGAGAUGAUGGGUUAGGGUUCUAUUGAGAAGAAUUUCUGGGUGGAGAUGAGAGGGUUCAGUGAGAAGUUGAGAUGAUGGCAUAUGGUUUGAAGGGUUCGGAGUAGAGAAGUUAAAAUUUGAAGGAUCUGUGGGUAGAUGUUUGAGAGGUUUAGGUUCGAUGAAGUGAUUUUGGUAGAAGUUGUGUUUUGGGUGCAGAAAAGAGGAGAGGGAAUGAACAAUUACUUCAGCGCCAGACGCAAAAUUUUGCGGUUUAUUUUUUUUUUUUUUAUUUAACUUUUUUUUUUUUUAAUUUGGUAUGCCGUAUGUGCAAAGAUAGCCCUUCCCCAUUAAACGCUAACAAAUCAUUUACACCAAUAUUAGCGUUCACUAGAAAACGCUAUCACACUCUUAUCAUCACACACCUUUUUUUUUUAUAAUUUUUUUUAAUACCAUAUAAUAGCACUUUCUAUAAAAGGGCUAAUAUAGGUGUCACGUUAUAAUAGCAUGCGUAACGGAAGUGCUAUUAUUAAUAUUAGAGUCAAUCUUUUCAUAGCAUUUUCUCUAAAAGUGCUAUUAAAUUAGCGUUUCCGUUAUAAUAGUCCUUAUGAACAUCAAAUUAAGUUUGGUAUUUUUCAUUAUUCAUGUCGGCGAUUUUUACUAGUUUUGAUUUAAGUAAACGUUUUGAUUGACUUUAAUGACUAAAGUAACUAAGAGAAUAAAGAGUGAAGGAUUUAAUUGGCGUUUUAUUCAAGUCGUGGACCAAAAUUAAAUCUUGUUACACUUUUAAGGAGAAAAAUGGUUGUUUUUCCAAUAAUGUUUUCCAAUAUUAAAUUACAGUUGUUUUAUGCCUUAGGGAUGUUACACUUAAUUGAUAACUUAAAUAAGGUUUUUGGAGGUAAAUAAGAAAGAUGCAAAACCUCCAGCCAAGCCAAAACAACCCCGUUUCGAUUUGUGAACUUGACCAUAAUAUAUUAUACACAAGAUAUAUAAAAACAAAGCAUUGGUAACUAGUAGAUUUUUUUUUUUUAACAGCAAAGUUUAUUUAUAUGCUAACCCAACACAAGAAGUGAAGAGGCUAGAGGAAAGACGCAAGAUAAGAGAUACAUAAAGACAGACAACUAAACCAAGGCCAAAAAGGCACAACACAAACCACCUAAACAACCCUUAAUACAAUAGAAUCACAGCAGAAAAACCUUAACCAAAUCAAGCAAAAACAAUUGCUUAGUUGAUAUUGGUAUGCCUUGUCGCAUUGAUGUUUCAGAAAUGUCUAGGUGGAGGGGAAUGUUGUCUUAUAUGUGGUAAUACAGGUGGUAAUCCAUGUGGUAAACCCCUUACGAAUGGAGUCAAAUUGGUAAAUUUUUGUUCUGGGAUAGUAAUUGGAGGGAGAUUGCAAAAUGUUGAGGAGAAAACAUAAGAGCAGCAAGGAAUAACACUAAUAAGGAUAAGAAAAAGGAUUUAGCCAUUUUAAGAAGUGAUAUUAUUAUUGUGUUGGUGCAUAAUACAUAUGGAAUUAACUGGUUUUAUACUAAUUAGAGACUCAAUGUGAGUUUAUGGUCAAUCUAAGUUAUUUACUAAAUGUCAAAAUUAUGUAUGAAUUGAAUUAUUCAACAAUGUUACAACUUCCAUGUAUUUGCUACUAGUUGAUGAUCAUUAACUAUCCUUAAUUUCAUUUUCCAUACAGCAAGACCAUUUAGUAUUAUUGGCUCUAUCUUUCCACUAAUAG